GACGAACGCUGGCGGCGUGCCUAAUACAUGCAAGUCGAACGGACAGUUUAUACCGUAGCUUGCUGCACCAUAGACGAAGAGGUGCGAACGGGGGAGGUAACCGUAGCUAACCUGCCUGGUAGCGGGGGAUAACUAUGGCAAACGCUAGCUAAUAGCGCAUAAUAUUUAUUAUUGCAUGGUAAUUAAUUGAAAGGUGCAAUUGCACCACUACCAGAUAGACUUGCGUUGUAUUAGCUAGUAGGCGAGGUAACGGCGCACCUAGGCGGGGAUACAGAGCCGACCUGAGAGGAUGAGCGGCCGCCCUGGGAGGGGGACACGGCCCAGAGGCCUAGGGAAAGCAGCAGUAGGGCAUCGUCGGGAAUGGACGAAAGUCUGACCGAGCAAGGCCGAGGGCGGGAAGAAGGUUGUCGGGUCGUAAAGGUCGGUUGUAGGGGAGGAACGGGUGUGAGAGUGGAAAGUACACACUGUGACGGUAACUGAUCAGGAAGCGACGGCUAACUACGUG
rnacentral:rRNA from 1 species